rnacentral:rRNA from 2 species
CACGGGGGGAGCAAGCGUUGUUCGGAAUUACUGGGCGUAAAGGGCGUGUAGGCGGUCAGGUAAGUGGGAUGUGAAAUCCUCCGGCUCACCCGGAGACCUGCAUCCCAAACUGUCUGGCUUGAGUAUGGGAGAGGAUGAGGGAAUUCCUGGUGUAGCGGUGAAAUGCGUAGAUAUCAGGAGGAACACCGGUGGCGAAAGCGCUCAUCUGGCCCAAUACUGACGCUGAGGCGCGAAAGCUAGGGGAGCAAACGGG